ACACCAAUCCUUUCUUUUUCUUUUUCUUUUUCUUUUUUUUUCUUUUUUCCUUCUUCUUCCCCGAAAUACACACACACACACGCAGCUUUUCUUUCUUCUCUCCCGACCGUCCCUCUCUCUCCCGUGUUUUUGAAUUCCGGCCACCCAUAGCCCUCACGCGCCAGCCACCAAGGAAGCCCGCCACCUCGCGAGCUUGGCCGCCAAGUUUCACGGCCAGCCGCCGCCGGACGCGCGCCGAUCGGGCCGGAGAAGCCGCCGGCCGGCCAAGUUUCUCUCUCCUCUUUUCUUGUGUUUUCCGGCCAGCCCACUCCCAAUUGAGCCUCCUAUCCCCCUAUUUUGGGUCCUCUGAAUCCAAAAAUGGCCUCCAAUCUCAAAAAUUCGAAGCGGUUUGCGAGAUAUGGAGAAGUGAACACCGGCCGAACCUUUCCGGCCAAAUUCCGGCCACCCCCGGCGGAAUUGGGGUCGACGGAGACCGGAUUGGUGAUCCUCGUUCCACGAGCUUCGAUUCGGAGCACUGGUGAGUCGUAGAAUUGAUCCCGUAGUGGAUCAUGGGUUAAUUGCGUGCUCCAGGUUCCAGGUUGUCGGUGUUCAUUCGGAUCGGACUUGAUCUUCCUCGCUGUUUUACUUCGUGAAGUACCCUGUUCUUCUUUAUUGCGGUUGUACUAUUUCUUUCAUUCUUGUUGUAUUUAUUUUGCACUGGAUUACUGUAUUUUUGUUUUGAAGUGCUGGAAUUUGUGGAACCAAUUUGUAGUUUGUGGGAGGAAUAAGGGGAUAUUUUUGAAGUGUGUUUUCAGUGCAGGUAAAUUUGUGGUAAGUAAAUCCCUUAGGGGAGGUGCUGCCGGAUUUUCCGUUGGAAGGUUCGGUGGUAUUUUCCUGGGAUCAGGGCUGUCUAGGGUUCCGGAGGAGGAAUUCUGGACGGGUCCUGACAGUUGGUAUCAGAGCUCUAGUUCUAGUAUUCCUAAGGGACUGUGCAUUGUUGUGCAUCCUAUCCGUGUUUAAUCUCUCGUUUUACCCGUGUGAAAGCGUUCUUUCUGUUUGUCUCGAAGUAAAUUCGUUGCCCGAGUUUGAAUAACUCUAAUCUUCGAGGGUGUCAAUUAGGAUCAUCUAGCCUAACAGGAAAUUCCUAUGGCCUAGUCGAUGGUCGAGGAUGCCUUUUCUUUUUGAAGGUCAAGCUUAUCAUCGUGAAUGGUAUCCGUUUCGUUCAUGGAGGAGAAAGAUGAUUGUCUAAGGAUGUGUGUCGAUCGAUCGAUUUCAAGGCGUCAAAAAUAUUUUUCCGAUCGAUUAUCAAAAUUAAAUACUUUUCAAAGUGGUAUUUGAAAUUAAAGGUGUUUUAUUCAAGUAUUUUUGGUUUGUGUUCAUACAUGUAUCUGUAUGUUAUAUUGUUUGAUAUUAUACUGCACCAUAUGGAGGCGGCGAACCAAUGUGGUCCAUGUAGAGCUAGCCCCAUGAUCAUGUUGCCUACGAGUCCGGGGAAUUGGACGGCCAAUAUAGGCAACCACCCUGGUUUGUAUUGGUAGCAGAGUGUCGGCGACAGUUGGAAUCAUGGAUUACGUAACAUGUAGAAGGUGUUGUACGUACCUCCAUUACAAGCGUGCAUAUUUUAUUUUAUGCUAUGGAUUUUAAGAUAUGAUUUUCAAUGUGGAGUUUUAACAAUUGCCUAUGCAAGUUAGGUAUAUUUGAAAAAUAUAUUUUAUUAUUUGUUUUAUGUUAUGGUUUUUCCAAGAGCGACUUAAGGGUUAAGUAUCGCCAGUCGAGAAUCCAAAGCAGGGUAUCGUUGAGUUCAAAAAGGAGAUCUUAAAGGAAGCACGCGAUUCAAAGUAUGCGAUACACCCCAAGGGUACCAAGACGUAUGGAAUGCUCACUGGAUGACAUGGUGGUUUGGCACGAUAAAGGAAGUUGCAAGAUCCGAAUAAAGGUACGUAGGUCACCGAUAAGUAAAAGUAGGGAGAUGUAAAUAUGGAUUUCGUGCUUAAACUAUCAUUCACAAAGAGAAGGUACGACAGCGUUUAGAGAAUCAAGCAAGAUCCGGAUAGCGACUAAAGUUCUACUUGGUGGUUGAUGAGGUUAAUGAGAUGAGGAUGAUUCCUUAGGCAUGGUUGGAUGUUUAAGCAUGGUUAUUUUUCAUUCUAGAAGCUAAGAUCUUGAUAUCUUAUUUCCUUGGAGAUUUAAGGUUCGUAUUGGUGGUGCUUUAUCGAUUCAAGGUGGUUGAUAUUGUUGGUGAUAAUUUACAAUGAUAAGGAGUAUGAUUUUUGGGACGUAGUUAGAAUUUAAGAAGUGUGGAAUACUUUAUUGGGUUAAGGAUCUAGUGAUUUGUUCAUAGUAUUGGUGGUGAUGCUAGAAUUAGGAUUUAAAUUUCUUAUUGCUUGAGGUGUGGAUUCAUGGAAUUUAUUUGAAAUAAGGGAAACUUAGGGUUUUCAAGAAUGAUAUUUGGAUGUUGAGAAUUUUAUUCAUGACCUUGAUGAAUUUAGUUAAAAGAAAGAUUGAUGUUUGUCGAGGUUAAGACUAUUGGUUAAUCAAUGAGGAGCAGGGGCUUUAUAAUUGUAAGUACUAGGAGGGUAAUCGAAGAUAAGUGAAUUAAUCUCAACCUUAACUUGGUGAUACCAGUAUUUGAGGAAAUUAGACUUAAGUUCUAAUCUAACCUUUUAAAGUGCUGAUCGAGUCACGAGAGUUGGUUGUUGGUUUAAGGAUGCAUGCUUUAGAAGCACCUUAUGGUUAGCGUUCGACUAUGACCAAGACUUGUAGAUCGUGUUCUCGUGGACCAAUUUGACUAUCCUUAAUUAGUGGGCAUGAGAAGGAAAGUUGCACAAGAGGGAAGUUAAAGUCACUAUUAGGCGAAUGUAGUGGCAGAUGCUUUGAGUAGGAAGGCUACUGGAUCCCUUGCUCACAUCCAAGUCAUCCAACUACCUCUCAUGGUGGAGUUGAAGAAGAUGGGGGUGUUAAUGCAUAUGCAUCCUUCAGGAGUUCUUAUGGCUAGCUUCCAGGUACGACCGGUGUUGGUGGAUCGUAUAGUAGAGACCCAAAUGGAAGAUCCUAAGUUGAGGACAAUUAAGGGCAAGGUACAAGAAGGUCUUGAUCCGGAAUUUUCCAUAAGGAGGGAUGGAGCCCUCGUGUAUAAAGGACGACUUUGCGUUCCGGAUAUCCCAGGACUCAAGAAGGAGAUUUUAGAGGAGGCGCACAGCUCGAUGUAUGCGAUGCAUCCUGGGAGUACCAAGAUGUAACGGACGCUUGUUAAGUAUUAUUGGUGGAUUGGUAUGAAGAGAGAAGUGGCAGACUUCGUAUCAAAGUGUUUGAUUUGUCAACAAGUGAAAGCAGAACGACAGAAGCCUUCGGGACUACUCCAACCUUUACCGAUUCCCGUGUGGAAGUGGGAAGAACUCAACAUGGACUUCGUAUUCAAGCUUCCUUCCACACCUAGAAGGUACGACGGCAUUUGGGUAAUCAUUGAUCGUCUCACCAAGUCGGGACACUUCCUACCGGUACGAGAACGUUUUUCGCCCUAGAAGUUAGCCCAGUUGUUCGUGCAAGGCAUACGUGGGAUCAGUUCAAGAUGGCCUUCUCUACUGAGUUUUGUCCUCCUGCCUACCGUGAAGCAAGAAGGAGAGAGUUCGAGGAACUACGACAGGGGAACAUGACGGUGACAGAGUACGAGAGGAGAUUCCGAGAACUAUCAGGAUUCUGCAUGCACCUGAUUCCCGACGAUCACACGAAGAAGGUGAGGUUCAUAGACGGAUUGAAAGAGAGCAUCGGCUACACCCUUUCUGGAUCAGUACAUCCCACCUAUCAGUCCGCCAGGGAUGCAGCGCUCGAGCUAGAGAGACAGGAGGAGAUACACAGACCCUCGAGGCGCAGAUCAUUCGAAGGAUCGUAUAGCGGAGUACCUCGACAGGGGGCAGCUAAGAAGAGCCAUAGCUCAGGCUCAGACAGUGAUGGGUUAACCCCACGAGGCAGAUUCCAGAGGAGAGAUAGUUAUCGCAUGCCCCAGCCAGCUCGCCAUUCGAUCAUUGUGGAUGCAAGCUCGUAUCAGCAGUCACGCAUUGGUUCUCCGCGGAUUUGUCCACUUUGUAGGGGGAAUCAUUCUGGGCAGUGUCAGAUGGAUGGUUUAUGCUUUCGGUGUGGGCAGCCAGGUCACAUAAGGAGGGAUUGCCCUUAUGGUAGUGGCAGUGUGCUAGAAGCAGGUCGACGGACACAGCAUACAAGGGUAUUUCCAGGAUAGAGUUCCCAGGGGAGUCAGCCAGUAGGAGUUUCUUCGGGAUCAGUACAGCCGUCUGCAGGAUCGAGUCGAGGUAGAGGAAGGAGAACCCAGCAGACAAGUCAAGGCUGGGUGUUUGCUAUGACGCAGCAGGGAGCCAGGACUACGCCCGACGAUUUCACAGAUCAAGGGAUGGAAACAGACCUGAUCCUGUUGGAUCUAUCCGGACUUGAAGUAGUGUUGGGCAUGGAUUGGUUGGCAAGGAACUACUUAGUCGAGGAAGCAACGUGGGAACCCGAAACACAGAUGCGUGAGCAGUACCCGUAUCUGUUCCAGUGACGUGCGGAAAUUUCGAGGACGAAAUUUUUGUAAGGGGGGAAGGCUGUAACACCCCGUCCCAAAUCGCACCGGAAUCCGUGCACGUUGACCGAGGUUGACCGUUGACCGUUGACCGAAGGGGGUCAAAAGUUGACUUUUUGACUCGGUGAGAAUUUUGAGUUGACUAGGGUACGGUGGCGAAGUGCAUGACGCCCUGAGUUCGUAGACUAGUAGCACGUCGAAAACGGAGCUACGGUUUGAAAGUUAUGGGCAAAACAAGUUGAAGUGUAAACUGUCUAAAAGGUGCCGGGAGUUGACUUUUUCUUGUGAUGUAAUUGUGAGUUGACUCUUGUAUGGUUGUAAAGUACUCGUCGAUACGAGUUCAUAGACUAGCGGCACGUCCGAUUUGGACAUGUGGUUUGAAAGUUAUAGACCUGUAAAGUUUUUCAAAUACUGUAUUAUUUUAAUAUUAUUUUUUUUUACACGCAUAACGAGGUGCCACGUGUGACUCAAUGAAGGUGGCCAUGUGUCACCAUGGUGAAAUGCCACAU